UGGGGGAUAUUGCACAAUGGGGGAAACCCUGAUGCAGCGACGCCGCGUGUGGGAAGACGGUCCUCUGGAUUGUAAACCACUGUCCCCAGGGACGAAGAUGACGGUACCUGGGGAGGAAGCUCCGGCUAACUACGUGCCAGCAGCCGCGGUAAUACGUAGGGAGCGAGCGUUGUCCGGAAUUACUGGGUGUAAAGGGAGCGUAGGCGGGGUUUGCAAGUUGGGUGUCAAAUCUACCGGCUCAACUGGUAGUCGCACUCAAAAUCUGCAGCUCUUGAGUGGAGUAGAGGCAGGCGGAAUUCCUAGUGUAGCGGUGAAAUGCGUAGAUAUACGGAGGAACACCAGUGGCGAAGGCGGAUUGCUGGACAGUAACUGACGCUGAGGCGCGAAAGCGUGGGGAGCAAACAGGAUUAGAUACC
rnacentral:rRNA from 1 species